rnacentral:rRNA from 1 species
CAUUAUGCUCAGCCCUAAACUUUGAUAGACUAUUACACCCACUAUCCGCCCGGGUACUACGAGCAUUAGCUUGAAACCCAAAGGACUUGGCGGUGCUUAACAUCCACCUAGAGGAGCCUGUUCUAGAACCGAUAACCCCCGUUAAACCUCACCCUCCCUUGUUUUUUCCGCCUAUAUACCGCCGUCGUCAGCUUACCCUGUGAAGGAUCUAUAGUAAGCACAAUUGGUAAAACCCAAAACGUCAGGUCGAGGUGUAGCUAAUGAGAGGGGAAGAAAUGGGCUACAUUUCCUAACCCAGGAAACACGGAUAAUGUUCUGAAACGGACAUUAGAAGGAGGAUUUAGUAGUAAGCAGAAAUCAGAGCGUUCCGCUGAAACCGGCCCUAAAGCGCGCACACACCGCCCGUCACUCUCCCCGAGCUAACAAAAACACAUUCCUAAAGUCCCACAUCUGCAAAGGGGAGGCAAGUCGUAA